UGGGGAAUCUUAGACAAUGGGCGCAAGCCUGAUCUAGCCAUGCCGCGUGAGCGAUGAAGGCCUUAGGGUUGUAAAGCUCUUUCGUGGGGGAAGAUAAUGACUGUACCCCAAGAAGAAGCCCCGGCUAACUCCGUGCCAGCAGCCGCGGUAAUACGGAGGGGGCUAGCGUUGUUCGGAAUUACUGGGCGUAAAGCGCACGUAGGCGGACUGGAAAGUCAGGGGUGAAAUCCCGGGGCUCAACCCCGGAACUGCCUUUGAAACUCCCAGUCUUGAGUUCGAGAGAGGUGAGUGGAAUUCCGAGUGUAGAGGUGAAAUUCGUAGAUAUUCGGAGGAACACCAGUGGCGAAGGCGGCUCACUGGCUCGAUACUGACGCUGAGGUGCGAAAGCGUGGGGAGCAAAC
rnacentral:rRNA from 1 species